ensembl:snoRNA small nucleolar RNA SNORA3/SNORA45 family
CGUGAGGCAAGAGUCACUCCUGGACAUUACUCUGUUGGCCCGGUGUGCUAUAGACCUCGCAGAGAAAAUGUCUUUGCUUAUUCGUUGACUGGAUCCUGCCGUAGUCCCGUCAACCACCAGCUCAGAUACACUA